UACAGAGGUCUCGAGCGUUGUUCGGAUUUACUGGGCGUAAAGGGAGCGUAGGCGGCCGGGUGUGUCGAAUGUGAAAGCCCACAACUCAACUGUGGAAUGGCAUUCGAAACUACCUGGCUAGAGUACUGGAGAGGAGAGCGGAAUUCUUGGUGUAGCGGUGAAAUGCGUAGAUAUCAAGAGGAACACCGGUGGCGAAGGCGGCUCCCUGGACAGAUACUGACGCUGAGGCUCUAAAGUUAGGGGAGCAAACAGGAUUAGAUACCCGCGUA
rnacentral:rRNA from 1 species